rnacentral:rRNA from 1 species
UGGGGAAUAUUGCACAAUGGGCGCAAGCCUGAUGCAGCCAUGCCGCGUGUAUGAAGAAGGCCUUCGGGUUGUAAAGUACUUUCAGUCGGGAGGAAGGUGUCAAGGUUAAUAACCUUGGCAAUUGACGUUACCGACAGAAGAAGCACCGGCUAACUCCGUGCCAGCAGCCGCGGUAAUACGGAGGGUGCAAGCGUUAAUCGGAAUUACUGGGCGUAAAGCGCACGCAGGCGGUUGAUUGAGUCAGAUGUGAAAUCCCCGGGCUUAACCCGGGAAUUGCAUCUGAUACUGGUCAGCUAGAGUCUUGUAGAGGGGGGUAGAAUUCCCUGUGUAGCGGUGAAAUGCGUAGAGAUGUGGAGGAAUCCCGGUGGCGAAGGCGGCCCCCUGGACAAAGACUGACGCUCAGGUGCGAAAGCGUGGGGAGCAAACAGG